rnacentral:lncRNA from 1 species
UUAAUAUACUUAGAAUAAAAAUAGAAAAGACAAGAGCAAUGCUUAGCAUGAAAUCUCACAGAUUAUUUCACAGAAACACAGGUAUUACACUGAAGAAUACAGAAUCACAGGCAUGUUCUAUAACAAUGACACAUUAAGAAAACCAUCAGCUCUCUAACACUGACCACAAGUGGGUUUCAAAGGGAGGGGGCUAAAAGCAAAAUUUGACACAUGUGGAUUUGAAGACAUGUGAGUGUUUCUCCUUCCUACUUGCUAGAUGAAGAAACACACAGACGGACUGAAUGACUGGCCUGUGGUCAUGCAAGCUAUGAAGACAGCAGUAACUGAUCCUGGGUCUCCUCAUCAGCCAUACCAUGGCCCUUUCAAGAGGCGGUGUUUGCUUCAUUUACUCUGCUUCAGUUAGCUGGUUUCCUGCCAACACAACAGGUCUGAGGGGCUGAGCAUCAAAGUGCUGCCACGGUGACAGCCCAGGGGCUGCUAGAGGAAGGUGAAGGUGUGCAAUGUGAAUGUUUUGUAUCCACCCUCCCUCACCAUGGUAUUUUGGCUCUACAAGGGGCUCUGUGGUGAAGACAGCAAUGUGACCACUGGGAGUCUCAGACAAGAACGAAGCAAAUUGAGCUGUGCUCUCCUGCCUGGCCUGAAGUUUGUUCAGAUACUGCAGAUAAAGGCACUUAGCACAGUGUCUCAUGUGGAGGGGAUGCAGAGUGACUGUUGGCUGCUAUCACCAUCAUUAUUGUCACUGGCACUUUGAACUCCAGUGAGUGUAAUUAUAUAUAUUUGUGCUUUUAUUAAUUUACAUGCACUAUUCUAUAUUUGCUGCUUAGCACAGUGGUUGGCACAUAUAAAAUAUUCAGUAAAAAUAAUGAAAUAGAUGAAUGAAUGGUUUUUUCUAUGGCAUGUGUGUCAGAAGAGGUGGGAUAACCCCAUCUGUACCAGGUACCAGGAAGCGAACUCUUCCCAGACUGGCGUCAUGAAUCUGCACAAAGUGAAACAGUGGCCUAGCAGCCUUCAGGAGACAUUGCCAUGUUUUCCUCUGCCCUUUCUCAGUUGGAAUCUGUGAAGAUGAACUACCUCUUCUUUCCCCUGGAUUUCUAUCCAUAAAUGUAUCUUUGUACAAUUGCUACCAGCAUAUAGUAUCUCCACACUAGAAAUCUCAGUGGCCAAGCUCUAGAAAUCUCAGUGGUCAAGCUCUAGAAAUCUCAGUGGUCAAGCUCUAUCUUGUGAUUUUCCUGCCAUCUCCAUGAAACUGAUAUUUAUCAUUCAUUUCUCUCUAAUGAACCAGUUAUAUACUUGAGUUUGCAUAUCAAGUCCCAAUCUCCUUCUCAAUUUCACUGUGGAGGAGGCUCUAUAGUACCACAGAAAGAGUCAUCAUGUAAAUUCUUAACAAAGUGAAGAAUUCUUUAAAAAGUGGAAAUCCCUGCUUGUUUAUUCCCAAUAUUCAGUCAAUUGGCAGGUUUUCUGUUUCUUCUUUUACAAAAGUGUCAUUUGUCCCAUGAGCAUAUGUGCUGAGACUUCAAAGCAUUGAGGGGAGGAGGUGCUUAGGAAGUUGAUUUUUCUCUUUCCUACUAAAAUGCUCUACUUACUAAAAUGCCUUAGAUAGGACUCAGAUAAUGUUAAGAGAUUAUAAAGAUAGAAAUAUUUCAAAAGGAAGAAAGGAAAACCACAAACUACUACUACAAUUUUGUCCAGCAUUCUUUUGGACUGGUGGCUACCUGUUCCUAGAAUUGCUGAGAGGUUUUUCAAAUCGAGAUGAGACAACAGAUGUA